AGUGAGAGUAGUGACCUAGGCAAGUUUAAAUGGGCCCCUAAGUAGAUCUAGGUGCACUUUCUUAAUUUUCAAACGUUUAGGAACUAAUUGGGACGGUGGCCACCCGCCUAGCGUAUAAGCAGGGCAUAGACAACGCUAAGUGGAAAUUUUUAGAACAGCGCUUAUGAGAUGCAGGAGAUUAUCUUUUUUUUUUUUUUUAUACAACUGUAUUCUACUUUAAGGAAAAUACGACCGUGCUAAGCCACGCAAUGCGGCUUAUGACCCGUAUCAGAUUAAGUGUCAAACCGGCCUAUAAAUUGGUCAUAAGCCAUGAUUCAACCAUCAUUCCUAAGACCACAACCUCAUUUGUUGUGUAUACUUCUCAAUCCAUAGCGCACCUGGCAUAUUAACGUCUUAUCUCGAAUUCACUCAAAUUACAACACAUGUUUUAUGAAUAUACAAACCCUAAAACCUAAAUCCAAGGCUAAAGACAUGGGUUAAAAUUUGGUGCAUUCGAUACACCACAUUAAACAUGCCGCAUUUAUCCUAUACGCCCGAUUAUUUUCCAAGAUUCAGUAUAUUAGGGAAUGCACUAUUUCAACCAACAGGAAUAACGAAGCGUAAAAAAUUCAAACUUUACUCAAUUACAAGUAAAACAUUGGGCCUAAGGAAAAGUUACAGAGACAACAUACUAGUAUUACCGUUUAUAAAGGGAUCGCCUAGAUUAAUUAAGAUCAGCUAAAUGUUACAAAUUCCCAACAAUCCA